rnacentral:rRNA from 1 species
UAUCCGGGGAGGAGGAAGCGACGAAGUGGCGGGAGAGUAUGUAAAGCGGUGGUCGGUGAACUUAGCGGCGGACGGGUGAGUAACACGUGGGUAACCUGCCCAUAAGACUGGGAUAACUCCGGGAAACCGGGGCUAAUACCGGAUAACAUUUUGAACCGCAUGGUUCGAAAUUGAAAGGCGGCUUCGGCUGUCACUUAUGGAUGGACCCGCGUCGCAUUAGCUAGUUGGUGAGGUAACGGCUCACCAAGGCAACGAUGCGUAGCCGACCUGAGAGGGUGAUCGGCCACACUGGGACUGAGACACGGCCCAGACUCCUACGGGAGGCAGCAGUAGGGAAUCUUCCGCAAUGGACAAAAGUCUGACGGAGCAACGCCGCGUGAGUGAUGAAGGCUUUCGGGUCGUAAAACUCUGUUGUUAGGGAAGAACAAGUGCUAGUUGAAUAAGCUGGCACCUUGACGGUACCUAACCAGAAAGCCACGGCUAACUACGUGCCAGCAGCCGCGGUAAUACGUAGGUGGCAAGCGUUAUCCGGAAUUAUUGGGCGUAAAGCGCGCGCAGGUGGUUUCUUAAGUCUGAUGUGAAAGCCCACGGCUCAACCGUGGAGGGUCAUUGGAAACUGGGGAGACUUGAUUGCGAAAAGGAAAGUGGAAUUUUCUGUGUUACGGGAGAAUGCGCG